GACGGAGGAUGCAAGCGUUAUCCGGAAUGAUUGGGCGUAAAGCGUCCGCAGGUGGCAGUUCAAGUCUGCUGUCAAAGACCGGGGCUUAACUUCGGAAAGGCAGUGGAAACUGAACAGCUAGAGUAUGGUAGGGGCAGAGGGAAUUCCUGGUGUAGCGGUGAAAUGCGUAGAGAUCCGGAAGAACACCGGUGGCGAAGGCGGCCCGCUGGGCAGUGACUGACGCUGGGGCGCGACAGCGUGGGGAGCAAACAGG
rnacentral:rRNA from 1 species